CUACGGGCGGCUGCAGUGGGGAAUAUUGCGCAAUGGGCGAAAGCCUGACGCAGCGACGCCGUGUGCGGGAAGAAGGCCUUCGGGUCGUAAACCGCUGUCAGGAGGGAAGAACCCCCUAUGGGCGAAUAGGCCAUAGGGCUGACGGUACCUCCAGAGGAAGCACCGGCUAACUCCGUGCCAGCAGCCGCGGUAAUACGGGGGGUGCAAGCGUUAAUCGGAAUCACUGGGCGUAAAGCGCGCGUAGGCUGUAUUGUAAGUCAGAUGUGAAAGCCCUCGGCUCAACCGGGGAAUUGCAUUUGAUACUGCUUUACUUGAGUACUGGAGAGGGUGGCGGAAUUCCCGGUGUAGGAGUGAAAUCCGUAGAUAUCGGGAGGAACACCAGUGGCGAAGGCGGCCACCUGGACAGUAACUGACGCUGAGGUGCGAAAGCGUGGGUAGCAAACAGGAUUAGAUACCCGUGUAGUC
rnacentral:rRNA from 1 species